AAUUCGCUAAAGGGCACAACGAUGAAGCUUCUUGUAGUUGCCUCUUACGCCCAGUUUGGGGUGAUUGCUGGAAGAUUGGAUUGCGGGCGUCCCGUAACGGCAUACGGGCAGCGACCCUCUCUCCUUUGAGGCUUCUUUUUGUGGUCGGCUUUUUGACCGGCUACGGGCUGAAGAUUAAACCUAUCAUGCGGUGCAUGUCGCUGUGGAUAGAGUAGCCUGCCUUGAGUGAUUAUGGCGGAUAGCUGUUCAGCCGUGCUUUAUCCUUGGCCGGGAGCGCGCGGUAUCGCUUCUUGAAACCAUCGUUGCAAAAGAGGAUAGGAUGUAUUACGGUGUUAUCGGGGAAAACCCCUAGGCUGUUUGUGGUGCAAAUCGGAUUGCAGUGCGAGCUUAUAAGGCAAUCAAGUCGCGAUAUUGGCGACAUAUCGACGGCUGCUUCAAAGGGAAACCGCCACGAGGUAACGAGUGGCAGCGGCCGGGGAAAUCCUACUUGACCUCAUGCCGCAAGAUUUACUUUUUGCACCACCGUUU
rnacentral:sRNA from 1 species